AUACGUAGGUGGCAAGCGUUGUCCGGGAUUUACUGGGCGUAAAGGGUGCGUAGGUGGAUAUUUAAGUGAGAUGUGAAAUCCCCGAGCUUAACUUGGGGCCCUGCAUUUCAAACUGGAUAUCUAGAGUGCAGGAGAGGAGAAUGGAAUUCCUAGUGUAGCGGUGAAAUGCGUAGAGAUUAGGAAGAACACCAGUGGCGAAGGCGAUUCUCUGGACUGUAACUGACACUGAGGCACGAAAGCGUGGGUAGC
rnacentral:rRNA from 1 species